CAGCUACUACUGACUUAACGACUCCAAUACCCGAUACUACGUCACAACCUCCACCAUCAACACCAAUGACAACAAUGCAAGAGCUCACCACUGCGGAUGAAACGGUAGCCCCAGGGAUCAGUACCUGUCAAGGGUACUGUGAAACAAAGGCACCAGGAGGAUGUUUCUGUGAUUACAUUUGUCAGGAAUACAAUGAUUGCUGUGAAGAUUAUUAUAUAUAUUGUCAACCUGUGGUACCAUCGACUACUUCAGAUACACCAACCACACAUCCUCCGACAACAACCGAUGCUGC